GUGAAUGGCGAUUUUGGAGAGUGAUUGUUCACCAAAUCCAUUAGCAUGACCAAAUCCAUAAACAAUGUUUGAGUUUUCAACAACAACCAUGAUAAGGUUGGUGUUACUAUAAUAAUCAAGCGCUUUUGUUUAUGAAAGUUCAUUUGGUUGAACUGAAGAGAGGUUGGGAGUAUGGUGUUAAGAGUUAUCACCUCUUCUAUAAAAGUGGCAUGGCAUCAAUAAGGGUAUGUAUGGAACUUAAAUUUUUUGUGUAAGAGUUAUCUUGGGAUUAUUUGAGGCAAAUGAUCUUCUCUCUGACAAUGGCAUCAUAUUGGAGAUUCUCUUCCUCUAAUUGGGCAUAGGAGAGAAUGAUC
rnacentral:lncRNA from 1 species